rnacentral:rRNA from 1 species
GGGCCCGCACAAGCAGCGGAGCAUGUUGUUUAAUUCGACGCAACGCGAAGAACCUUACCAGGUCUUGACAUCCUGCUAACGAAGUAGAAAUACAUCAGGUGCCCUUCGGGGAAAGCAGAGACAGGUGGUGCAUGGUUGUCGUCAGCUCGUGUCGUGAGAUGUUGGGUUAAGUCCCGCAACGAGCGCAACCCUUAUGUUUAGUUACUAACGCGUAGAGGCGAGGACUCUAGACAGACUGCCGGGGACAACUCGGAGGAAGGUGGGGACGACGUCAAAUCAUCAUGCCCCUUAUGAUCUGGGCUACAAACGUGCUACAAUGGCCAGUACAAAGGGAAGCGAGCCGGUAACGGUAAGCGGAUCCCAAAAAGUGGUCUCAGUUCGGAUCGUGGGCUGCAACCCGCCCACGUGAAGUUGGAGUUGCUAGUAAUCGCGAAUCAGCAUGUCG